GGGCGCCGAUGGCCGCAUCCUGGCCGAGACCGAAGGGCCCUGCACCAACCACUGGCUGGUGGGCACAGAGCUGUGCGCGGAGCGGAUCCGGGCCAUGGUGGAGGAGACGAAGCGCCGUGCAGGGCUGGGCCCCGCUGUGCCGCUGUGCGCCCUGGGGCUGUCGCUGAGCGGAGGUGACGAGGAGGCCGCGCUCACAGCGCUGCUGGCGGAGCUGCGCCGGCGCUGCCCGGAGCUGAGCCACAGCUUCUGCGUCAGCAGCGACGCCGCGGGAGCCAUGGCCACCGCCACCGACUGUGGUAGGGCACGGGGGGGUGCUUGGGGCGGCAGUGGGGUGUCUGCCAUCCCCAUCCCCAUCCCCAUCCCAUCCCAUCCCAUCCCAUCCCACCUCAUCCCAUCCCAUCCGAUUUCAUCCCAUCCAAUUUCAUCCCAUCCGAUUUCAUCCCAUCCCAUCCCAUCCCAUGCAAUCUCACCUCAUUCAUAUCAUCCCAUUCCAUCCUACCUCAUCCCAUCCAAUCCCACCUCACCACAUCCCACCUCAUCUCAUCCCAUCCCAUCCAAUUUCAUCCCAUCUUGUCCCAUCCCAUCCCACUUCAUUCGUCUCAUCCCACCCCAUCCUACCUCAUCCCAUCCUAUCCAAUCCCACCCCACCUCACCUUACCUCACCUCACCUCAUCCCAUCCCAUCCAAUUUCAUCCCAUCUUGUCCCAUCCCAUCCCACUUCAUUCGUCUCAUCCCACCCCAUCCUACCUCAUCCCAUCCAAUCCCACCUCACCUCACCACAUCCCAUCUCAUCCCAUGCCAAUCCCAUCCAAUUUCAUCCCAUCUUGUCCUGUCCCAUCCCAUCCCUGUCCCAUCUUGUCCCAUCUCAUCCCAUCCCAUCAAACCCCAUCCCAUUCCAUCCCUGUCCCAUCCCAUCAAAUCCCGUCUCAUCCCAUCCCAUCUCAUCUCAUCCCCAUUCCCCCCCCAUCCAAUCCCAUACCUCUCCCAUCCCAUCCCCAUCCCAUUCCGAUUCCCACCCCAUCUCAUCCCAUGCCAAUCCCAUCCCAUCCAAUCCCAUCCCAUCUUGUCCUAUCCCAUCCCAUCCCAUCCCAGCCCCAUCCAAUCCCAUCCUGUCCCAUCUCAUCCCAUCCCAUCAAAUCCUGUCCCGUUCCAUCCCGUCUCAUCCCAUCCCAUCCCAUCCCAUCCCCAUCCCAUCCCCAUCCCAUCCCAUCCCAUCCCAUCCC
rnacentral:lncRNA from 1 species